UUUUGACAUUGUUAAACAUUUAAAAUUUAGCAAAAAUGUCUUUAGGUUGAAUUAGAAUUUUAAAUUAUAAUAUUUUUCCUAUGAUGAACCGUGGUGAUGGAUAUAAGACAGAAAUGUACAUUCUAUAGCUCUUCUGUUGACUUUCAGGGCAUCAGAAAUGGAUCCUUGGAAUUUGGACUCUAUUUUGAAAGACACUUUAAAAUCUCUAAGCAGAUGGGUCUCAACUACUUGCUGCUAAUACAGACGGGAACUCAAGCUGCCUGUAUUCUUGGCUGCAUAUUGCUGCAGGGACAGGAUUAGGAUGAGAACGGUAACCUUGUAGGACGUCUUAUGGAGUCAAUGCUGGCCAUGACAGGUGCUGUGGGAGAAGGUGGUCUGUACUGAGCCCCUACUGACCUUUCACUGGCAGAUAACACUAAAGGGAAGAAAAGGCUGAUCCCUGAGCCUUGUGUCUAGGUUAGAAGCCUGAAACUGGAAAAUAUAUGAAGUUAUGUCUGGUGUUUUAUUAUCUGUUGUUUUAGGAAGAGGUAUGAAUUUUGCCCUGAGAGAAAAAGAAUUGGGUUGAUGUCCCUUUGCUUCUGUGCACAGAGGUGACCUAGCAGUUACCAUGACAUCCCGAUUUAUUAACCUCAACCCCCAAAAUCCAGCCCACCUCUAGCAGUAAAGAGAUGGGAUUUUCUCUUACUGAAACUCUUUUAGUCUGAUCUUGUAAGGUUGCCUUUUUUUAAGGAGUAACCAAGCUCUCUGUUUAAUGUGUCUUUCAAUCAAUACUUGUGAGGGCAAGAGUCUCUAAGGCAUCCUUUGUUUAAAAAUGAACUGUUGGGUCUGCCUUUAAGCACUCAAGUUUUCCUUGUGUGCUUCAUCUGGAUCUCUCAAAAGAGACGUUUACUUGCCUUUGUAUGGUGGGGUCAACAUCAAGCAAAUUUCUGGUUUUCAAGGACUUUACAGUUAUACUGCAGGGCCUCUGAUAUGCUGCACUUUAUAUUGAUAGAAAUAUUUCAUAUGAUUGCAGUCCUGGACUUACUGCUCUUCAAUUUUCUCUUAAUAUUCUAGUUAGAGAUUUCAGUCUAUGUGAAAGUCAUAUUCUGGUUACUUACAGAAAUAUAUAUGAAAUAAGAUCUUCCCCAGAAUCUUCUAGUGCAAGGCAGUAAUGGUGGUAAACAGCCAAGAAGACACUUUGUCAAUGUCUUUAUUUCUUAGUUUUUCUUUUCGUAGUGGUAGGAGCUUUUUUCUGUUUAUAAAAAAUUUACUUAGGCUGUAGGUGCAUGAAAAAAGAGGGAAUAACUGUGGUAUAAAACUG
rnacentral:lncRNA from 1 species